rnacentral:tRNA from 1 species
GAAAAGUUAGUUAAAUUAUAACCUUGCUUUGUCAAAGCAAAAUUACAAGUGAAAAACUUGUACUUUUCU